CCUACGGGAGGCAGCAGUAGGGAAUAUUCCACAAUGGAGGAAACCCUGAUCGAGCGACGCCGCGUGAGUGAAGAAGUAAUUCGGUAUGUAAAGCUCUGUCAGCAGGGAAGAAAGUGACGGUACCUGGGUAAUAAGCCCCGGCUAACUACGUGCCAGCAGCCGCGGGAAUACGUAGGGGGCAGGCGUUAUCCGGAUUUGCUGGGUGUAAAGGGAGCGUAGACGGCAGAGCAAUGCUGGAGUGAAAGGCGGGGGCUCAACCCCCGGACUGCUCUGGAAACUGUACGGCUGGAGUGCAGGAGAGGUAAGUGGAAUUCCUAGUGUAGCGGUGAAAUGCGUAGAUAUUAGGAGGAACACCAGUGGCGAAGGCGGCUCACUGGACUGUAACUGACGUUGAGGCUCGAAAGCGUGGGGAGCAAACAGGAUUAGAUACCCCUGUAGUC
rnacentral:rRNA from 1 species